UAAUCUGAGUCGGACUAUAAUGCGUAUCCUGCAAUAUCCGGGCUGAUUUGAAUCACCCGGCCUCCUUGACGUGUACUCCAAGUAUCUUCAUGUCCUUGGCCCGUAUACCCUAGUUGGGCGGUCCCACUUGUUAGGUCCAUCCAGUAUCCUGGUUAGUGGGGACCCAAGGGGUACCCUUAUCCCUCAGCCAGAGCUAUUGCUACAUGUGAUCACUAGAUCAUCCACAUACACUCCAAGCACCAGACGUUCACUACCAGCCC
rnacentral:lncRNA from 1 species